rnacentral:lncRNA from 1 species
AGUGGGAUCAUUGGGCGGUGGGCGGUGUGGAGGAGUCUCCGCUGGUCCGCAGAAACGAACGAAGGCGCGAGAAUCGGGAAGUUCUGCCUCAGUGACCUGUACGCGUCCUAGCCGCAGUGAAUGUUGCUGAACCCCGGUGACCUCACAGUGGAGGGGCGGCCCCAUGGGGCCAUCGGACCGCGCCGCGCGGGGGCGUUCGCCAGGGCCUCCGCAGAAGCCCGCCUGUGCCCGCAACCGCCCCGAAAUUCUCUCCCUGGCACCGUGUCCGCUUUACGGAGCCCGGAGCAAGGCUCAGAAAAAUGUCCCAGCCAAAAACAUGGUACAUGCCUGUCAUCAGGAUUGCCCUUUACAGUUCAUGAGUUCCCCCAACUGGAGUGCAGACAAGAGCACUGAUUGAUGGACCAGGUAGACUUGAAACCAGGAAUAGCACAAAAGUUAUCAAAGAGGCUCAGCCAUGGAGAUUGCAAGCUGGGGAUGGAAGUAUCCCUGGAAUUGAGCUGUUCUCACACCUGGUACCUGAGUUAUACCCCUGGUGUCUGGGUACCAAGGUCACUAGCCUUGCCACUUUUCUAUGUUCCUGAUCCCCUACUAAACAGUCCACCUUUUCGCCUACUUCCCCUGACUCCUGUACCCUGUCCCCUCUUUCUGCCUAGUUUGAAGACACUGGUCAUCCCAUAACAUGUCCUGGGCUAAUACAUAUCCUCAAAUCGUUCUUGAAAAUCUGUUCCUCUUCCCUCCUCCCCCUCCCCCUCCCCCCCCCCCCGCUCUUUCCACGGUCUCCCUCUGAUGCCGAGCCGAAGCUGGACGGUACUGCUGCCAUCUCGGCUCACUGCAACCUCCCUGCCUGAUUCUCUUGCCUCAGCCUGCCGAGUGCCUGCGAUUGCAGGCGCGUGCCGCCACGCCUGACUGGUUUUCGUAUUUUUUUUGGUGGAGACGGGGUUUCGCUGUGUUGGCCGGGCUGGUCUCCAGCUCCUAACCACGAGUGAUCCGCCAGCCUCGGCCUCCCGAGGUGCCGGGAUUGCAGACGGAGUCUCGUUCAUUCAGUGCUCAAUGGUGUCCAGGCUGGAGUGCAGUGGCGUGAUCUCGGCUCGCUACAACCUCCACCUCCCAGCAACCCGCCUUGGCCUCCCAAAGUGCCGAGAUUGCAGCCUCUGCCCGGCGGCCACCCCGUCUGGGAAGUGAGGAGCGUCUCCGCCUGGCCGCCCAUCAUCUGGGAUGUGAGGAGCCCCUCUGCCUGGCUGCCCAGUCUGGAAAGUGAGGAGCGUCUCUGCCCGGCCGCCAUCCCAUCUAGGAAGUGAGGAGCGCCUCUUCCCGGCCGCCAUCACAUCUGGGAAGUGAGGAGCGUCUCUGCCCGGCCGCCCAUCGUCUGAGAUGUGGGGAGCAUCUCUGCCCUGCCGCCCCGUCCGGGAUGUGAGGAGCGUCUCUGCCCGGCCGCCCCGUCUGAGAAGUGAGGAGACCCUCUGCCUGGCAACUGCCCCGUCUGAGAAGUGAGGAGCCCCUCCGCCCGGCAGCCGCCCCGUCUGAGAAGUGAGGAGCCCCUCCGCCCAGCAGCCACCCCGUCUGGGAAGUGAGGAGCAUCUCCGCCCGGCAGCCGCCCCGUCUGAGAAGUGAGGAGCCUCUCCGCCCAGCAGCCACCUCGUCCGGGAGGGAGGUGGGGGGGUCAGCCCCCCGCCCGGCCAGCCGCCCCGUCCGGGAGGGAGGUGGGGGGAUCAGUCCCCCACCCGGCCAGCCGCCCUGUCCGGGAGAUGAGGGGCGCCUCUGCCCGGCCGCCCCUACUGGGAAGUGAGGAGCCCUUCUGCCCGGCCAGCCGCUCCGUCCGGGAGGGAGGUGGGGGGGUCAGCCCCCCGCCCGGCCAGCCGCCCUGUCCGGAAGGGAGGUGGGGGGGUCAGCCCCCCGCGCGGCCAGCCGACCCGUCCGGGAGGGAGGUGGGGGGGUCAGCCCCCUGCCCGGCCAGCCGCCCCGUCCGGGAGGUGCGGGGCGCCUCUGCCCGGCCGCCCCUACUGGGAAGUGAGGAGCCCCUCUGCCCGGCCAGCCGCCCCAUCUGGGAGGGAGGUGGGGGGGUCAGCCCCCCGCCCUGCCAGCCGCCCUGUCCGGGAGGGAGGUGGGGGGGUCAGCCCCCCGCCUGGCCAGCCACCCCGUCCGGGAGGUGAGGGGCGCCUCUGCCCGGCCGCCCCUACUGGGAAGUGAGGAGCCCCUCUGCCUGGCCAGCCGCCCCGUCCAGGAGGGAGGUGGGGGGGGGGGUCAGCCCCCCGCCUGGCGAGCCGCCCUGUCCGGGAGGUGAGGGGCGCCUCUGCCCGGCCGCCCCUACUGGGAAAUGAGGAGCCCCUCUGCCCGGCCACCACCCCAUCUGGGAGGUGUACCCAACAGCUCGUUGAGAACGGGCCAUGAUGACAAUGGCGGUUUUGUGGAAUAGAAAGGGGGGAAAGAUGGGGAAAAGAUUGAGAAAUCGGAUGGUUGCCGUGUCUGUGUAGAAAGAGGUAGACGUGGGAGACUUUUCAUUUUGUUCUGUACUAAGAAAAAUUCUUCUGCCUUGGGAUCCUGUUGAUCUGUGACCUUACCCCCAACCCUGUGCUCUCUGAAACAUGUGCUGUAUCCACUCAGGGUUGAAUGGAUUAAGGGCGGUGCAAGAUGUGCUUUGUUAAACAGAUGCUUGAAGGCAGCAUGCUCCUUAAGAGUCAUCACCACUCCCUAAUCUCAAGUACCCAGGGACACAAACACUGCGGAAGGCCGCAGGGUCCUCUGCCUAGGAAAACCAGAGACCUUUGUUCACUUGUUUAUCUGCUGACCUUCCCUCCCCUAUUGUCCUGUGACCCUGCCAAAUCCCCCUCUACGAGAAACACCCAAGAAUGAUCAAUAAAAAAAAAAGAAAAAAAAAAAAUCUGUUCCUCUGUGAGAUGGGCCUGAUCUCUCCCACGGGUGGAGCAGAGGAGUAGAGGGUCCAGGGCCUGAGUCUCCCAUAGGCUAAGUAUUUGCCCUGAGUCAUAAAGCCAGUGGGAGGCAGUGCUACAGUUUGAUUCCAGGAAGUCUCAGACCAAAGUUCUCUCUUAACCACUUACCUUUCCUGGGCUUAAUAGUUAGUUCAUUUAUGUUUUUCCUGGCACUACUUCAUUGGACCUCAUUUUAGUUUCUUCUUUUUUUUUUUUUUUUUUGAGACGGAGUUGCUCUGACACCCAGGCUGGAGUGCAGUGCCACGAUCUCACAGUAACCUCCGCCUCCCGGGUUCAAGCAAUUCUGUCUCAGCCUCACGAAUAGCUGGGACGACAAGCGCGUGCCACCACACCCGGCUAAUUUUUGUAUUUUUAGUAGAGUUGGGGUUUCACCAUUUUGGCCAGGAUGGUCUCCAUCUCCUGACCUCGUGAUCCGCCCCGCUCAGCCUCCCAAAAUGCUGGGAUUACAGGCAUGAGCUACCGCACCCGGCCCAUUUGUUAACAUUGUAAAAUGAAUAUUAGUACAUUAUUAUUAAUGUACAUUAUAUGGGUUUUCACAAAUGCAUAAAUUCAUGUAUCCACCAUUACAAUAUAGUACAAAAUACUUUUACUGCCCCCAAAAAUUACUUGUGCUACUAUUCAUUCCUCCCUCCCUCCCUCCCUCCCUCCCACUGAGUCCCUGGCAGUCACUGCUUUACUGUCUCUAUAGCUUUACCUUUUCCAGAAUGUCAUAAACUUGUAAUCAUACAGUAUGUAGCUUUUUCAGUCUGGCUUCUGUCACUUACCAAUGUGCAUUUCAGACUCCUCCAUGCCUUUCAUAACUUGGUAGCACAGUUAAUUUUAUUGCUGAAUGAUAUUCCAUUGUGUGGAUGUAACACAGAUUAGCCAUUUAUCUAUUGAAGGACAUCUGGGUUGAUUCAAGUUUUGAGCAAUUAUGAAUAAAGCUGCUAUAAUAAUUUGUGUGGUUUUCGCAUGGA